GAGGGGUCAAGUAUAAUUUUCUCCAGUUGGAGAGGUGGGCGUCUCACCUGCCAUAUUUCCGCCGACGCCAACAUCAAUGGCGACGAGGCCGAUGACAAGGAUUUGAGACCAAUCGAGAAGGGAGAGUGUGGGGAGCGAGGAGGGGGGAGGGAGUUUGAUUCCUUCUGGUGGACUGGAUCGCCCUCUCUCUCCGCUUCCGUUGCUUGCUUCGAUUCCUCAGCGGUUCGAUCGCUUGGGCGUGGAGGAAGCGUGGAGGAAUUCCAGAAGGCAGGCAUCGCGGCGUUGGAGGUGGAAUUGGGGGUUUCUUUCCACCCACAUUGAUUUGGCGGCGCACUGGGAUUCGUUUGGGGAUCUUCAUCAGGUUCUUGAUGGCGGUGGGGAGCAGCUUCGAUCAUUGGCAGAAGGAUGUGUUCUUUUCCGCCGCGGAGGAGGUCCAGGAAUCUGCUGAUGCAUUGGAGUCUCUGUACAGAAUUUGGAUGCGAUAUCUCAAAGAUGGAUUUCCUUCUGGAGCAGAAGAUGAGUUGCACAGGGAACUUCAUAUUGCUCUUGGCACCGCAAAGUGGCAGCUAGAGGAGUUUGAGAAGGCUGUCAGAUUGAGCCAUGAAAACUAUCCAUCUGAGGCAAAUACAAUAACCAGACAUGAACAUUUCAUGGGGGCGAUUGGGAACCAAAUUUCUCGUAUAGAGAAGGCUGUUAGAGAUGAAGGGAAACAACCUCUGCGAUGGAUACAGUUAAAUGCUGAAGAGCAAGAUGAUUUUGCUCUUUUCCUCUCUGAGGUGCCUCUGAAUCUGCAAGAUUCAUCGCAAGGAAAUUCUUGGUCUGAAUGUGCGAAGGGCUCAAAGGACACAGUUGUUGCUAGUAAUGGUACAAGGCAUGCAAUGGAAGUGGCGAUGAAGGAACCUCACAAAAGUGUGGAGCAGUUAAGGGGACUGAGGAGGACAUCGAGUUCGGUGGAUGAGAGUUCUUGGAAGAUUGAAGUAUCUGAUGACAUAGAAGCAGAUAGUCGUCAAUCAGUCGAACCAAUACCAGAGAUGCGAAUCAAUCCAUCUAUUCUCAGUAGUCUUUGGAAAAGUGUUGAAUCCUCGAGGCUUAGGUUGUUCAGGAAUAGCUCCAAGAAAUUAAAAUCCGAAGAGCAGGUUCAAUUCAGACAUGGGUUCUUAAAUUACAUGGACAUGACGAGGAUUGCUUGUCUAGCUCAGCGAAUUAGCAGGUUAACCGAAAGAAGUAGGGGUUGUUUUAAAGCUACUAGUUCUCAGCAACUUGCAGCGAGGAUAGAAGUCGUCCAAAGACAAAUACCGGGAAGUCAAUACCAAAUGCAGUUCGGUCCGUCACUAAGGCUCGCUUUCUUGCUACUGUUAAGUAUAAUAUUGAUCGGUGAGUUGUUCUUCAAAAUAGCUAGAACAUGAGCUAUUAGCCAUGUUCUUACUAAUUGUUGCUUAUAUUCCUACAUUGUUGUCAUCUAUCGUCCCUAAUGAUUUGAACUCUAUGCGAGGUUUAUCACCAAAUUUGCUUCUUAGUGAGUUAGUCUUCAUGAUCACGAUAACUGUUAAUGCCUCCUAUGCUAUAUGAUGAGAUUGAGAAGCUAUUAGUCAUAUUCUUACUGAUCCUUGCUUGCAUUCAUGUCGUUCUCCCAACUAUUUGAUGUCGGGCUACAUGAAUCUUGAACCCUAUGCAAGGCUUUGUUUGGUGUCGGCUACAUCGAUCCAAAUUUUUCUUCUGAUGGAACUCGCUAUAAAUUUUUACAAGCUUACUAAACAAUGCUUCAUUUGCUUGCAGUGCCAUUUGUUUUGUACUCUACAUGAAGGCUCCGAAAUUUCUGCUGGAAGAAGGGUACUGCUGCAAAUUGAUACGAACAAGCUAUAGGAGUUUGCAUCUCGACGCACAACAGUCUAUUGUUAUAUUCUUUGUAUUUAAUCCAAUUUGUUAAAACUUCAUCAGCAGUGUAUCAAAGUAAAUGCAUUGUGAAUUUGAAAUUAGGGUUCAAAAUGUUGAUGUUUCAUUGUUGCAAAUCAAAA